GAUGAACGCUGGCGGCGUGCUUAACACAUGCAAGUCGAACGAAGCACCUUGAUUCGAUUCUUCGGAUGAAGAUCUUGGUGACUGAGUGGCGGACGGGUGAGUAACGCGUGGGUAACCUGCCUCAUACAGGGGGAUAACAGUUAGAAAUGACUGCUAUUACCGCAUAUGACCACAGCACCGCAUGUUGCAGGGGUAAAAACUCCGUUGGUAUGAGAUGGCCCCGCGUCUGAUUAGGUAGUUGGUGGGGUAACGGCCUACCAAGCCGACGAUCAGUAGCCGACCUGGGAGGGGGACCGGCCACAUUGGGACUGAGACACGGCCCAAACUGCUACGGGAGGCAGCAGAGGGGAAUAUAGCACAAUGGGGGAAACCCUGAUGCAGCGACGCCGCGUGAGCGAUGAAGUAGUUCGGUAUGUAAAGCUCUAUCAGAAGGGAAGAAAAUGACGGUACCUGACUAAGAAGCACCGGCUAAAUACGUG
rnacentral:rRNA from 1 species